GAUGAACGCUAGCGGCAGGCUUAACACAUGCAAGUCGAGGGGUAACAGGGAAAAGCUUGCUUUUUUGCUGACGACCGGCGCACGGGUGAGUAACGCGUAUAGAACCUCCCUUUUGCAGGGGAAUAGCCCAGAGAAAUUUGGAUUAAUGCCUUAUAGUAUUAUUGAGUGGCAUCAUUUAAUAAUUAAACAUUUAUGGGUAAAAGAUGGCUAUGCGUUAUAUUAGCUAGAUGGUAAGGUAACGGCUUGCCAUGGCAACGAUAGAUAGGGGUCAUGAGAGGGAGAUCCCCCACGCUGGUGCUGAGACACGGACCAGUCUCGUACGGGAGGCAGCAGUGAGGAAUAUUGGACAAUGGAGGCAACUCUGAUCCAGCCAUGCCGCGUGCAGGAAGACGGCCCUAUGGGUUGUAAUUUGCUUUUAUGCGGGAAGAAACCCAUAUACGUGUAGUUGGCUGACGGUACCGUAAGAAUAAGCACCGGCUAACUCCGUGCCAGCAGCCGCGGUAAUACGGAGGGUGCAAGCGUUAUUCGGAAUCAUUGGGUUUAAAGGGUCCGUAGGCGGGCUAAUAAGUCAGGGGUGAAAUCCAACAGCUUAACUGUUGAACUGCCUUUGAUACUGUUAGUCUUGAAUUAUAUGGAAGUAGAUAGAAUGUGUAGUGU
rnacentral:rRNA from 1 species